UACGUAGGGUGCAAGCGUUAAUCGGAAUUACUGGGCGUAAAGCGUGCGCAGGCGGUUUUGUAAGACAGAGGUGAAAUCCCCGGGCUUAACCUGGGAACUGCAUUUGUGACUGCAUGGCUAGAGUGCGGCAGAGGGGGAUGGAAUUCCGCGUGUAGCAGUGAAAUGCGUAGAUAUGCGGAGGAACACCGAUGGCGAAGGCAAUCCCCUGGGCCUGCACUGACGCUCAUGCACGAAAGCGUGGGGAGCAAACAGG
rnacentral:rRNA from 1 species